rnacentral:rRNA from 1 species
UCAAGAAACUUCCACAAUGGGCGAAAGCCUGAUGGAGCGACGUCGCGUGAUGGACGAAGUGCUUCGGCACGUAAACAUCUUUUAUGUGGGAUGAAAUUAUUGACAGUACCACAUGAAUAAGGGGCUCCUAACUCUGUGCCAGCAGGAGCGGUAAUACAGAGGCCCCAAGCGUUAUCCGGAAUCACUGGGCGUAAAGGGUGUCGAGGCGGUUGUAUUAGUCGUUCGUAAAAUCUACGAGCUUAACUUGUAGGCGGCGAACGAAACGGUACGACUUGAGGUUUGGAGAGGUGCGUGGAACUCACGGUGUAGGGGUGAAAUCCGUUGAUAUCGUGGGGAACACCAAAGGCGAAGGCAGCGCACUGGCCAAAAUCUGACGCUCACACACGAAAGCUAGGGUAGCGAAGAGGAUUGGAUACCCAAGUAGUCCCUGAGCGGGCUGGCAAGGCGCAU